UUUUCGACUAAAAGGGUUUUUUUGCUAAAUUAGGGGUUUUCAGAAACAGAGCAACUAGUUCUAGUUCUAAGCCGCAAACCUGUUCUCUCUCUCCAACCUAAGACCAAGCUCUCUCCUUGACUCCUUGUGGAAGAUCCUUGGUCACCCAGAAGCGCGGCUGCUCAAGUUUUCGUUAUGAAUAUUCUCAAACUUUUGUCCGGCUCUCUGUUUCCGGAGAAAGAUGACCAAAAGUUUGAUGAUUGUGGGAGUCUUGAUCUGUUUCCAUUUGGAUUUCCCAGAUCAUUAACUGUGGAUAGGAUUCACGUUCAAAGCACUUGUCCUGCUCUGUUCCUUCACAUGUGAUCUCUUAUAUCAAUGACGCUGGGAGUGGAGGAUUCAGGAGCAUGCAAAGUCUUUGUCUGAGAUUAUUUCCCACCAACUUUUAAUUGCUAGCAGACCUGAGAUUCCUCUUCUGUGGAUCUCUUUAAGAAAUAUCGACAUCGAUGGAGAAUUCAAACGAUACCUGUUCUUUCCCGCCAUGCCCUGCUCAAUUAACUUUCAUAAACAGCACAGAGAUUCAAUAUCAAUGUAAUACUGAAUUCUCAAAAGGAUUGCGGUACUUCCCUGCCAUGCCCUGCUGAAGUAACUAUCCUAAGCAGCAGAGCCCUGCAGAGAUUGAGAUUGAUGGAGAAUUCAAACGAUACCUGUUCUUUCCUGCCAUGCCUUGCUCAAGUAACUGUCAUAAACAGCAGAGAGAUUCAUUGUUGAUUGAAUACUUAAAAGGAUUGCUGUUCUUUCCUGCGAUGCCGUGUUGAAGUAACUAUCCUAAGCAGCAGAGCCCUGCAGAGAUCGAGAUUGAUGGAGAAUUCAAAUGAUACCCGUUCUUUCCUGCCAUGCCUUGCUCAAGUAACUAUCAUAAACAGCAGAGAGAUUCAAUGUUGAUUGAAUACUUAAAAGGAUUGCUGUUCUUUCCUGCGAUGCCGUGCUGAAGUAACUAUCCUAAGCAGCAGAGCCCUGCAGAGGUUGAUAGAGAUGGUGGUGUCUUUGGAUGAAAGACACGUCGGGUGGAGGAUUGAAGGAAGCAUAUCAAGCGUGCAGCUGAGAUUCUUUGCCACCAAACUUUCAAGGUUUGGAAAAAGCCUCAUCACUAAAGUACUAGUGCCAAAAUUUUCACUUCAUGCCAGUUUUUGACAGCCUGUAAUAAUAUAUAUAUAUAUAUAUAUAUAUAUAUAUUUUUAAGUUUCCCUUUAUGCCAAUUUUUUAAUUCAUAAAAUUCAGUAGUGUAGUGUACUAAAUUACGAAUUCGUACACCACUGAAUUAUAAUUUAGUAAUAGGAAUGACACAAAUAUAUAAAAACACCAGUGGUGCGAAUGGAAGGAUCUAGAUUUACACUUAGGGUAAUUAAGUAUUAUUACCAGAUUGUCCCUUACCCUUUCUAUAAAAGCAACAGUACACAGUGCCUGAUCUAAAACAACAGUGAAAAAAGAAAAAAGAAAAGUUCUAGAGAUCAAGGAAAAAAGGAAAGCUCUGUUCAUCUGAAAAUGGGUUGGGGCAAGAGUGGAGAUGGCAGCCAAGGCAAAGGUGGAGGGGGCAAGGGCAAGAAUGGAAAUGGCGGCCAAGGCAAAGGAGGAGGGGGCAAGGGCAAGGGCAAAGGCAAAGGCAAAGGCAAAGGCAAAGGAGGAGGGGGCAAGGGCAAGGGCAAGAAGGACAAGAAGGACAAGAAAUCUGAUAAGGCCAACAAGAAGCUGGAGCAGUACCUGAAGAAGAUGCGGAAGAUUUGGGAGAAGAUGAAAUGAAGAAUCAAGAAUGGCAGCGACUGGGAUCUAGGGUUAAUCGAGAGUCUGGGUGUUGGGAAUGGGUUAAUUUCAGUCUAGUUGGGAAUGGGUUAAUUUCAGUCUAGGGUAUCGGGUAGGGUCGUAUGUAAAGUUGCCAUUUAAUAUCAAUGUCAUCGUAUUACUAAAUCAAGUUAGUUAACUAGGAAAAACAAAACAAAAAGGGGAUCCCCAAGAUCCGAAACCCUUGAUUUUUGUUUUGGGCUCCGUCCUCUCUCUCUCUCUCCCUCCCCCUAUGGCUUCUGCUUGUUGGGAAGCUGAGCAGCUCAAUCGUCAAUAUGGUUCUGGGCUUUUGUGAUUUUCUGCAUUUAUGGUUCUGGGUUGUUGUGAUUUUGUGCAUUCUUAUAUCUGGGUUGUUGUGAUUUUGUGCAUUCUUAUAUCUGGGUUUUGGUUCUUGGCACUUCCCAAAUACUGGAGCUGAAUGUUGUCUAUUUAGAUUGAGAGGUAUGGUACUAGGAGAUGGUCAAACCGCUAAUCCAAGGUUCCAGAGGUGUAGAAUUGCAUGGUAGCAAGUUACAACAAGGUCUGUGGUUCAUUGUGUAGAGUCAGAUGGUGGAGUGAUUCAACUAGAACUAGACAAUGAGUCGGAGUAGGAAACUGAUACUCAGUAGUAACUAGUAAGAGAGGGGAGGAAAGGUUGCAAUUUGAGGGAAAAAUUAUAAGAGGGCUUUGAGGAAGCAAUUGCUGAAGUUGAUACGCUGGGAGAGAAAUCAUACAAGGACAGCACUCUAAUCAUGCAACUUCUGAGGGACAACCUCACUGUUUGGACUACAGAUUUGCAGGUCCAUACUACUCUUACGUGGAGUAUUAGAUGAUUUUUGCAGUUUUCUUAGAUGGGGUUGCUGAGUUACUUAGUUUUACCAUGGCCAUAACAAACAAAUGUUAUAUAUCAAUAGCACUUGAGCCCUUCUAUGGCACUAAUGAAAGAAAAGUUAUUUUUAAACAAGUAAGUUGAGAAUAGAUUAAACCUGUCAAUCUCAUUGAGAUCUCAAAAUCAGACCUAUGUUAUGAUAUACAAUUUGAUCCUUAAAGAACAAAGUAAAUUUAUAUAUGAUGCUCUUUAUGCUGUU